UCGUCCUCCAACGGCCAGAGGACUGGGUGUGUGUAGUCAGAACUGGGAAAGGGAGUCAUCGUAGGCCGACUUCUUUGCCCUUUGUCCUAGGCACCUCCCCCACGUUGAGGGAAAAUGUUGAGAAGAUGGUAAUAAUUGCCAGCUUUUACUGAGGGCCCACAAUGAGUCAGACUACGCUAAAUGUUUUACUUGCCUUGCCUUGCCCUGCCCCGUUUAGUUCUUGUGUGCUACGAGGAAGUCACUAUCAUACCCAUUUUACAGAGGGGGAAAACUGAGGCGCAAAGAGGCUAACUGGCUUAUUCAAGGUUGCUGAUUGCAGGAAAGGAGGGAGAAAGUGGUUCCUGUGGCAAAGACAGAGUCUUGGGGACUCCCACAAACAGGGCUAGAACAGGUAGUUUUAAAAACCAGUCUGCCAAGAAGUUUUUAGUAUAUGUGCUGCCGAAGCGAGCACUGACAAGAAGUUUAUGCUUAAAAAAAAGAUCCAUUUAGUUCCUGAUUCCGCCCCUCGGCCCAGCAGCCUCACAGUCUCAGCUGAAGACACUUUGCUUACCUUCUCCAAAAUCAAGU